AGCGAACGUUAGCGGCGCGCCUAACACAUGCAAGUCGCACGAGAAAGGGAGCAAUCCCCGGUACAGUGGCGCACGGGUGAGUAACACGUAGAUGACCUUCCCUGGAGUGGUGGAUAACCUGCCGAAAGGCGGGCUAAUACAGCAUGGGACCACAUGGUUUUGACCGAGUGGUGAAAGCGGGCCUCUGUUCACAAGCUCGCGCUCUGGGAUGGGUCUGCGUCCCAUCAGCUAGUUGGUGAGGUAAUGGCUCACCAAGGCAUCGACGGGUAGCUGGUCUGAGAGGAUGACCAGCCACACUGGAACUGAGACACGGUCCAGACUCCUACGGGAGGCAGCAGUGGGGAAUCUUGCGCAAUGGGCGAAAGCCUGACGCAGCGACGCCGCGUGGGUGAUGAAGGCCUUC
rnacentral:rRNA from 1 species